CAGAUGCAGGGUUGAAGUGCAACAAUGAGUUUCAUGAUGAUGCAGAAAAUCACAAAAACCAGGUAGCACAGGUGAACGGUGAUACGAGCAUAAAAAUCUGGUAGACACGGGAACGUGACUCGGAGAGGAACGACAAAGAUGACACACAAGGAUCCGGCAGAGAGCAGGGGACACAGAAAACCUGCUGGUGAAUUAUUCAACCAGUUGAAUGGCCUUGAUGAGACCCAGGCUGAGUUUCGGGAAAGUUUCGCCAUGUGUGAUGCAUGCAACCCAGCCCAUUUAGUUUGCAUGAGACAAUACGUAUGACGGCAUCUUUUACCGUUGACUGGCUCGGGUGGGAGCUUGACAAAAGUCACGACGGGGCUUGGAAAACGACGGCGAAUGAACACGGCGGAGACGCGACAGAAUGACUCGAAACCCCUUGAUUGCCUCAGAUUUGCAUAAUUUCUGACAGAGAGCAGGAGAGACGCCAGCUUCAGAAAAGGAGGCAAGGCAGUUGCUCAAGGGGACAGUCGCUUGGUUGAAUCGGGCAGGUGUCAUGAAGGAUGUGGAGGGGAACAGAAAGGGACGCCUGGCUAAAAGAUUUCUCUGCAUCUCGGC